ACACUUACAUCCACUCUCCAACCCACACUUAAGAAUUUUACUAUAAUCCUUCAUAGAUUAUAGCUUGAUUGUUUCCUCAACUCACAAUCAAAAAUCUAUUGAUUUUCUUAGUAAAAAUUAACCAUACUCCAUUAAGCCACUUCUAGGCUUACACAACAAACACACUCCAAUUCAAAGCUUGGAUAGGACUAUCCCUAAGUUUCAAUCUCAAUUGAAACUUGUUUACAACAAAAAAUAAGAAUACAAUAUAAAGCAUAAAGAAAAGCAAC
rnacentral:lncRNA from 1 species